AGAGAAUAGGCAAUCUAUUUAUUAUUUGGUGAGAGAAUUCUUGUGCUUCAUCUUUAUUUUUACAGAGCCGUGAGAGAGGAAGAGAACCGUGAGUGAUCAAUUCCUUAGAUCCCUGCUGGGAAUUUUGAAGAAGAUUAAGGAAGCUAGAGAAGAAGAAGAUUUAAAGGGGAAAUCAAAUCUAAUUGCUGAAAUUAAAAUUUGAGGGUCGAGCAUAAGGACGAAUCCACCGGGGGUCGAGCAUAAGGACGAAUCCACCGGCAGAACACUAUGAGUAAUAUCUUAGUAAAUAUAUGUUCAAGUGAGCAAAGAGUUGACCAAACCCAACCUCAGUGAAAGAUAUGAAAGGAAGUCAAGUUUUGUGGAGUCAGCCCGCACGUCUCACGCACUAGACUUUAUUUUUGUUCUUGUGUUCACACUUUUGCUUGGCUGGUGAAUAAGUUGGAUCAUCCAUGUAUAUAAGUUCGUUUUGUUUGGCUGACUGUAUGUUUUGGAGUUCCUGGAUGUAUAAGAUAUUAACUUUGUUUUUAUGUGUGAGUUAUUAUGUACUAUUUAUGAAAUGUUUCGCUUUAUCAUGUAAGCACUGCUCAUUGAACAAAAAUUUUUAGUAUACUUCCG